UCUGGUGUACCAGUUGUUCUGUCAAGAGCAUCGCUGGGUAGCUAAGUGCGGAAGAGAUAAGCGCUGAAAGCAUCUAAGCGCCAAGCUCCUCCCAAGAUUAAUUCUCCCCGAGGAUCGUGGUAGACCACCACGUUGAUAGGCUGAUGGUGUAAGUUCAGUAAUGGAUUUAGCUUACCAGUACUAAUCAUCCGAUAGGCUUGAUUCCUCUCUCU
rnacentral:rRNA from 1 species